GCGUGCGCCUACGGUGCCAACGGCGCCAACGGUGCUAACGACACCGACAGCUCUCGGGUCUCCGCCUGUGAACACAUCCGCGGGCGGCUGGAGCCGGCCGGGUCAUCGCUGGCGUCGGAGCCGCGGGGAUCCGGGUCCACCCGGGAUAAGCAACAGAGUCAGGGGCCAGGAUCAGAGCUCUCCCUGGACAGAACCUUAGUUAGCAACGGUAUUCACCAUGCUGAGGGGAUCUGUGGACACCUGCCCAGAGAAGCAGGAUGCCUACAAAAGUACGUCCACCUCAAUAAGUUAAUGAAGUGGUGAACUCCAAACCCAGAGACUGAGAGAGCAUCCUGGCUGCCAGCUGGCACCUCACCCAGAAACGCAACAGGUCCUGCCAUCACCAUACUUGGUUUUUUCCUGUAGCUAUGCCUUGGCUCAAGACCCAUCUGCACCUAUACUUUGGGCCCCAGGCUGAAUGCCUGGCUGUCCCUGUGCUCUGCAAGAGCAGACAAGAUGCGGGCGUUGCGGGGUCCCAAACAGGCCCUAGGCCUCAGAAUGAAGAAGGCGCUUAGAGGCUGCACCCACAACUUAGGGACACUGCAAACAAAUCACUGGAGGCAGCUUGUGUCCCUUAUGACUGGAGGAGUUUCAGCAGGAAAUUUAGCCUAGUCCUAGGGGACAGGGCCUCUGCCUUAAGGACAAUAUGUAGUUUCAGAGGGCAUUGCUUCCCAGUCAUGAGAACAAGUGGCCAGGACACAAGGCCAGGACAGAGGUGUGAGCCCAGUGAGACUGUUGAGGAAAAGCUGAGAUGACUUCUGAUCGGCAGACUCUAAAGAAGGCUGCCUGGAGGAGGUGGUCAUGAGCCCUGCAUGAUGUGGAUGCUGGAAGAUAGAGGAGAGAACUUGCUUUUCAGACCCCAGGGAUCUCUCUGAUCGCCACAGUAAUUUCCUAUGGGAUUUGAUCCCUGAGAUAAAGCUCCUGUCCACCAAACACAGAAGGGAAAGGGAGAGAUGGGAGGAGGCAUAACGAAACAUAAAGCUUCUCCUGGGAGAGGGGGUUGGACUGUCGAUGCUCAGCCUUGCCUGAUGCCGAUGCCCAGCCCGUGCUCACCUUCUGUGGCUGCACUUGCUCCCUUCUUCCUCUCCUGCUGUAUGCAGAGCCUCUGAGAUCCGGAUCUCUCAACCGUCUGGCUUCCUGGUGGCUGUUUCCUGUGUUUAGAACUGGAAGGCUGAGCAGACUCCAGCCCAUCCAGCCAGCCACACUCCCUCCUGUCCUUGGGUGGAGCAGGGGACAGCAGCAGAGGGAAGGGGAGAGGGAUCACCUAACCCUGUGGAAGAAAAUGAGGAAUGAGAGAGGCAUCUCUUGCUGUGUAACAAACUACCCCACAAUUUAGCAGCUUAAAACAGUCCACAGGUUCUGUGACUUAGGAAUUCAAGUAGUUAGUGGGGUCUCUUCCUGGAGGCUUCUUACAGGCUACAGUCUGUGUUUGGAGGCUGUGGUCUCAUGAAGGGUUGGGUGAGAGGAGGUACCUCACACUCACACAGAGCGAAUGCUGUAGUUUGCAGGAUCCAGUUCCUCACCAGCAGAUCAAUAAAGGGCUCGUGCUGCUUACUUCUGGCUGGAGGCCUUCCUCCCUUCCCUGCAUGGGCCUGUUCAUGUACGUGCACACUGCUCCCACCUAAUUGGGCAAGCAAGAGAGGGCAAAUGAGGAGGGAGUGUCUUUCACAAUCCGACUUCACAAGGGACAUCCUGGGAUUUUCCCUAUUUUUGUGGGUUUUAGCUCUUAUCGAAGGGGAUGCACUGGAAUGUGCUACCAGGAAGGGACAUUGAGGGCCACCGUAUGGGUUGUCUUGCUGCAGCUUGCUAGGUCUCCACCUAUGACUGCUCUUCUUGUGUCCUUGGGGCUCCAGGGGUGCGUCUCACCAGGGCCCAAUAUUCAGUAGCUUGUUGCCCCUUGUGUUUUGAUUUAAAAAAAAAUUGAAGCCCUAAUUGGUACAUUCUGAGGUAGAUGUAUCCAAGGGAGUCAUAGAGUAUGUCCUUGUUGAGAAAACUGUCAGGGCCCUGUGGACCUCUUUCUAAGGCAGCUGAUGCUCUUGAAUUCUCCAGCAUGACCAAUAGAGCAUCUUAAGCUUCUGAGUUCGCAGUCUGUCCCUCAGAGCAAGUUCGUGCCCUCAGCUGUCACUUUAGAGGCUCCUGACAGUCUAGUGCUGGUGGGUGUAGAACUCAGAAAAUAAUGGGUGAGCAUGGGAGAGAGCAGCUCCCCGGUCCCCUUGCUUGUAUCCGCAUGGGCCACACAGAUGCUUGAAGCACAGCAGAGUCCAUAUCUUGGUAGAACACCUCUCAGAACCUCCUAGACAAGGCCAGGUCUGUUUACAUCCUCAAGAACCCUCAAGGUUUCCCAAGGCUCUGCUGAGGUCCACCUUUCCUCUUACCUGCUCUAGAGCCAUUAGCUCUAUAACUAGGUGUUCUACCAUCUUAUGGCCGUCUCUGGUCGCUUUAGUGUGUCUCUGCUCAAGGAAGUAAUCAAUUGAAUCUAUGAAGGACUUAGGGUUUUUUUUUGUUGUUGUUGUUUUGUUUUUUAAAACUGAAAAUAAAACCCAGGUCAUUGCACAUGAGAAACACUGUCUCUAAGUUACACCCCUGCCCUGGGUCCAUUUUUACUGGUGAAUCUCAUCUCUGGAAGGAAAAAAGGGAGAGCCUAGAGGAAUGACAAAGGGCCCAGGUCCUCCUGGGCUUUAGAGCAUACCCCAAAGAGGAAAGGAAAUACGCCCAUGCAUUUAAUGUUGCUUUUUGUGUGUCUGCAAUCUGUGGCUGAUCUUGUAUUUUCUUUACUAUGCUUUAGGAGAACUAGAAGUUACUCUGAUCUCUGUAAUGCCUUCCUAUUAAACACUUAACUCUAUGGAUAUAGAAAACACAAAGGGACCAGAAGAAAAUCCCAGUUUGGUGAAAUGUCUGUUAACCGUUGUAUUGGUGUAAACAGCAAAUUCUACAAUUAAGGAUGUCUUAACCCUUGCCUGCAAUAUCUGUUUCUGUAAGCAAGCUGUUUAAGGAAUUUCCUGUAAUGGCUUACAUACACAUAGACAUUUGUAGUUGAAAAUCAUGUAGGUUACAGUCCAAAGGCCUAUGGAUUUUUGUGAUCAAGGCCCAAAACCUCAGAGUGUUAGCUUGUCUGGGUCCACUAGCACAAUAAAAGAGUGAGUUCUCUGAC